rnacentral:rRNA from 1 species
UACAGAGGGGGCAAGCGUUGUUCGGAAUUACUGGGCGUAAAGGGCGCGUAGGCGGCCCGGUAAGUCCGCUGUAAAAGUCAAAGGCUCAACCUUUGAAUGUCAGUGGAUACUGCCGGGCUAGAGUCCGGAAGAGGCGAGUGGAACUCCUGGUGUAGCGGUGGAAUGCGCAGAUAUCAGGAAGAACACCAACGGCGAAGGCAGCUCGCUGGGACGGUACUGACGCUGAGACGCGAAAGCGUGGGGGAGCGAACAGG